CUCUCUUCCUCUCUCUGCGAAUUUGCCCAUCCUGCUCUCUCUCCGCGUGUAUGCCCUAGCUUCUCUCAGCUACUUUGCCGACCGAUUCAUCUCUACGAUCGAUGGAGAAUCAGGGUAACAUUGUUAGAAAUGAGUCCAGCUUGUUACAUUGCUACUGCCAUUUCAUAUCUUUCAACAUGAUGUGUGGGCGCAUCCGGCGCUGACAGAGCACGAGAGGAAGAGGACGUGCAGCGUGAUGGAGUGCCAAAAGCUGUCUGUUGAUGCGUGUAUGCACGGCUGUCUGUUAAGCAACGCGGUUUCCAUGAAAGAGGGUGGGGAGUCACAGUAUCAACUCAUGGUGUCAAACCGGAAGACAUUGCUGGAGGGAACUCCUUAAUCAUCAUUUCAAGAAGGAUAGACAGUGGCAAAGAAGGACAUCAACACUCUCAAGUUCGAGCUGGAGACUGUCAAGACUAUUUGGAGCUUCAGUUUGGCAUGGAGAUGUUGCAGCGCGACUUCAACAAGCUGGCCAAGCCCAGGCAGACGUCGGCAUGAACAUCUGGAUGGAAGAAACUCAGCAAGCUCACAAAGAUGACACACGCCAAAGACAAUGGAUCCCAGCUGCCAACUACUAGAAGAUGGAGAAACUCCAUUUCUUAAAUUGCUUUUGUUGUUGUUGUUGCUGCUGCUGUUUCUACGUGUGAUUUCUGUUUAGAGAUGCAAUAUUGACAUGAUUUUCAUUUUUAUUCAAAAAAAUUUGGUUAA